AAAUAAUGAAGCGAUUGUGCUCGGGGAUUGGUGGAUGGGAACAGCGCGGGGUUAUGUGAGGGCCGGGGGGGGCCGGAGCGAUGGCCGCGGCGUCCGUUUUGGGUGUUUUGAAGAGACAAAGAAAAAUGACAAGAAAACCCAGGCCAUGGGGACCCAGGAGGAUGUGGAGCCCGCAGGCAGGUGCCUUCCCAACACAGAUCACUGGUCUCUGCCCACCGGGGGUCACUGGGGAUCAUCCAGUGUGGAUCCUCCCAUGGGGCUUGGAGCUGGAGCAGCACAGGAAGCUCUUCCCGCACUCAGGGCACUCUCAGGGCUUCUCUUAGUGGUGGCUCUGUUUGUGUUGGGUCGAGCUACAGCUGUGCCUGAAGGUCUUCCCACACUCGGGACACUGGUGUGCUGUGCUUGAGGAGAUCCAAACUGCUCGAACACUGGAGCUCUUCCCACAUUCCAAGCAUGUGUAGGGCCGUUCUGUGGUGUGCACCCGCUGGUGGUAGAGGUGGGAGCUGUGCCUGUACCUCUUCCCACAUUCCCUGCACUCCCAGUGCCGCUCCCCCGUGUGCACCUGAAGGUGGGUGAGGAGAUUGAAGCUCUGGCUGAAGCUCUUCCCACAUUCCAAGCACUUGUGGGGCUUCUCCUCAUCAUGAAGUUGCUCCCAGCUCUGAGCUCCUGCCGCCUCCCCAGCCUUGGGUGAGCCUUUCCUCCUCAGAUCCCCGUGAUCUGUGUCUGCAGCCUCUCCUUGUGCCUGAUGUCCGGGGCUUUUCCUCCCCGUUGGGUUCCUGUCCUGUGGAGCUGCUCAAAACAGUCUCUUCCAUGAGGUUCUGCUGUGAGGAUUUGUCCGCCCUGGUCUCCAUCCUCAGCUCCUGGUCUGGGGGAGGAAGGACAAGGAGAGGAUGGGAUUUGCCUCCAUGCCACAGGGAAGGGCACGGAGAUCCCCCCAGUGCGUCCCCAGCAGGACAGCUUUGGCAGCAGGGUUGUCCUGCAGCCGGGGGCUGUGCUGGGCUGGGAGAUGGAGCAGGAGAGAGGGGGAAAGGGGCACUGACUUCCUCCUCACCUGCCUGGGGCUCCCAGGCCAUCUUCAUCUCAGCCUCCUCCUCCUCCUGCAUCGGGCCAAGGUUUGGGAAUGGGAAAUCCUGGUUUGGGGGUGAAAACAAGGUGUGAGAGCUGGGGAUUCCUCCUGCCCAAGCCCAUCUCUAGAAGUCACAGGAGCAGGGAUUGAGCUGGGAGAGGCUGGGAUGGGCAACGUGAGGCUCUCAGCUGCUCCCAUCUGAUGGGGGCAGGGGGAAUCCGACCGGGGAAAAAGGAAAGGCAAACUGGGAAAAUUGUGGGCUGCAAAUCCACACUUGGGCUUGGUGGGGACCCUGGGUAGGAAAUUCCAUCCCUUUCGGCUGAUGCCUGAAAUAUAAGCUGGAAAUAAAUCCCCACAGA